UAAUAACCGGGACAUCGGAGUCCCGAAGAACCGAUUUAAAAUUCAUGCAACCCAGAUGAGCUCACGAGACCAGCACCGCCAGAGGCGCUAGUGUAUUUAACUCACAUUUUGCUACGUCAAGGCCUGUUGCUGAUUUGAGCUUCUAUUAUUUUGUUGGAUUUUGACGAUUUGCGUCGGAAAUACAAGAGCUCUACUUCAACACCGGAACAAGCCAUUUUACCAGUGCAGUGCGCACAUAUUUCUAAAGCAAGUGUCGUCAUUAACCAGUUAACCAGUACCAACAAAAUCGCGUCCCGUGGACUACCGUGUGAAAGUAUUCACUCGCAACAAGACAGUCAUCUAAGCAUCGAAAAAUGUAUGACCAAAAGUUGCAGCAAGGCUGGCAAAAAUGCCAAUCCAAACGGAAGUGCAAACCAUAGAGAUAACCCGGAAAACUCGCCGGAUAACGAAGCACCACUGCCAAAGUUUCAUCGAUCAGGUUAGUUAAGAUGGCAUCGGCCACCGCACUCGAGCCGUACUACAGUUCCGAAAUAUGCUGGAGAUAGUACUGAUCUCCGAUUCGACAACGGACAAACGUGAACAGGAAACUUUCCUUGCCGAAAAUCACAUGAGUUGACCCACAAGCAUCCGAUGGCUCGGAACCAAUGUUGAGCGUCAAUGUGUCACCAGCAAGGGGCUAUCUUAAGUCGAAACUCACAUCACUUGACAUUCAAUUUUCGGUCGCCUGAUGUGACUCCAUACAGCGUUCAAGGAUGCAAAGUAAAAUGACUAAUGGCACAUUAGUAACUUGACAGCACAGGCCAUUCUUCAGGGUGCACCGGAUGUUACCAGUAUACACAUCUACUCCUGCGAAUGGUGGUACCGGUAGAUUAUACGACUGGCGGUCACAUUUCGAUGGUCGAUGUCAUGCGCAACAUCUAUGAUUUGGCCAUCAACCUGUACGGAAGUCAGAUAGCCAUUGUAGAGAACCAGGAUGGAAGUGCAGGAAUCGGUUGUGCGAAUUUACAGCGUUGGCCAGAAGAAGAACACCGAAGAUGACGCAGAGGAGGAAAAAGAAGAGAUGAAGAACUCAGAGUAUUGGUCGAUUUAUUUAAAUGCAGCAUUUCCCAACCUGGAUUAGAACAACUUUAUUAAAUGCUAUUAUUUCCGAGAUUAUUUCGGAAGAAAAGGCUCAAGGAAGAAAACAGUAAUUCAUUUGUGCUAUCAAAUAAUAUUUUAUAGAACUCUAACAUGUCGGAUGUCGGUACUUGAACAAAUUAGAUAAAAUAAAUAAGCAAAGGCCAAUUUAGCCAAAUAAGACAAA